AGUAGGGUAGUGAACAAAAGAUCUGCAUGGUCGCAGUUCCCGGAAGGCUUACCGAAGCAAAACGACCCCAGUUCAAAUAAUAAUAAUAAUGAUAUGGCCAUAUAUGCGCAAGUCUUUACUCAAAACACGUCGUUCAGAAACUUACUCUGACAAAUGUCAUUUAAACAAGUAAACAAAUUUAUAGGUUAAAUUAUAUUUGUACACAAUGAUAUGAUAACAUUAUUUUAUAUCUUGAAUUGUUGCUAUCGUAAAUGUAUAAUAUAACAAAAGUAAGAGAAAUUGCCGGUCGCUGUAGUCUGUAUUUUUCAUUGGUUUCUGUUAAGGCUAUUAUUAUGGUUUCUCUUUCAGUUCGGUCUGCCUACUUUAUAGCCAGUAAACAUUAUAUAUACCAUGGAUCCUAUAGAUGAAAUUAUAAAGUUCUCUUGGGAACUUAUGAAUAUGAGUGAAGGAGAGUCUUCCUGUGAAAAUGGCGAGUUGGUAGCCCAUGAACUAGCAAAUGGCUGUGGACAGAAACCUGUGAGAAUUGAAAAUUAUUUGUUCCAUACUGUACCCAAUCUCACAGCAGAACAAUUCAGGAUGCAUUUCAGAAUGAAUAUAGGUACAUUUGAAAAAGUAUUAGCAGCUGUUGGUCAAACUUGAUGAACAUUCACUCAGAUGGCAAACUGUUGAGCCAAAAAAACAAUUAUUGAGUGUUAUUUGGCUUCUAGCUACACCUGAUUUGUUUAGGUCUGUUGGAGAGAGAUUAGAUAUGGCAAAAUCCACUCUUUUCAAUUCUUUCAUCAGAGUUACCUAUGUGCUGAAUAAUAUAGCGCCAAUGAUAAUUAAAUGGCCAUCGGGAGAAUGCUGAAGUGAAGGAGAGUUUUUCAUUAACUGGCCUUGAUUCAUGCCUGGGUAUGAUAGAUGGCAGUUAUAUACUAAUAAAAGGACCCAGAAUUUUAUGUUUGUCGUAAAAAAUUUCACGCAAUCACUCUACAAGCAAUCUGUGAUCACAAGCUUAAGUUCAUAGAUUGUUAUGCUGAAUAUCCAGCUUCUAUGAAUGACUGCCGGAUAUUUAAGAAGUCAGAUAUUUAUAGAAAUAUAAUAUCAAACCCUAUUCAAUACUUUCCAGUUGAAUUAUGAUCAUGUUUCAAAAGGCUUAUGUUGAAGUUCUGCCAAUUGAAGAUUCCAAUUCUAAAUCAAUCCUUCGAUUUCCUGGAUUUUUGUCAGUAAUCACAAAAAUAAUUAUUUUAUUGUCAAUCUUCAAAUGAAAUGUUUCCUUCUUUGAUAGUUAAGUGGUACAAUACGUUAUAUAUAAUUCGAUUCAAUUAUUUCAUUAAAAUCUUCACAAAUAUCAAUUUGUAUAAUUAUGUGCAAUAAAAAGAAUGUCAAAAUUUGUUGAGUAUUAUUACUUAAGUAAAAAUUAAGUUGGAUGCAAAAUCUCACUGAAAUAUUGAAAAAACUGUAAUUGAUAUUACAGUUUUUUCACAAUUUUCGGUGCAGGUUUUCAUUCAAAUUGUGAGUCGUUUCGAAUUAUGAAAUAAUAAGGAGCCAAAUGCGCAGAAUCAACAUCAUUAAUUCCAUUCCCUGCCCAUAAGGUCGCCACAAUCACGCUUAUUUAUUUUACCGUUGAGUCGUCACUCUUUCCCUCCUUUCUCUAUGGGUUUAGUUGUUAGGAAUGGUGCAUAAGAUGCUUGAAGAGUUGAAAUGGAAAUGUUAAUGCACAUAAUAAAACCCAGAUUCAAAACAUUCCUUGAUUCAUAACUAAUCAACAUCACAACAUAUUUCAUCAGAUUAAAGCAUUCUCAAUAGAAUGUAUUAGCCUGUAAAAGCACUAUGCCUCAGAGCCUAGGGUCUCAGUGAAUAACUUAUGAUAACCAUAUUUGAAGAAAUUCAUAUCUUUCAAACCGGCCCGACAUCUAUUGCAUCAAUCAGUAAAUCGAAAAAAACCUGCAAGUCGGAUAAAAAUCCACCGAUUAGCAACUCUGGUAUCCUAAUAGCACUUACUAUUUCCUCAGUCUAUUUCUCAAAAUAUUUGGGCUACUUCUUCUGAAGACAACAUAUAUACAACAUAUGGUUAUUCCCAUAGCCAUAUUAAGCUAUUUCAGAUAUCAUGAAAACCUGUACCAAACAGUUCCUAAAUGUGAAUCGUUUAGCUAUUUCAAUACAAUUCUGAUACGAAUAUCUCAAUAUUUUUCUUUAAAAAAAAAUUAAAUGUGCGUUAUUCCCAUAGCCAUAUUAAGCUAUUUCAAUACUAUUUUCAUCUGAAUAACUCAAUAUUUCUCAUUACAAACGCCUUAUUCCCAUAGCCAUUUCAACAAUCAAGUCAUGCAAAAACUCAGUAUUUCUCAAAAAAAAAUUAAAAACGCGUUUUUCUCAUAGUAUAUUCGCAUGUGUUGCCAUUAAUUCAAUGACUCCAUCCUUCCCAACACCUCUCUUUCUUUGAUAGUCUGCAAAGCUAUGCAAGUAGAAGCCAUGUGAGGGCCAGUCCAUGUUGUUAUAGGUCUAUGGAAGAAUCUGAUCGCAGGUUAAUAUUCAUCUUGGGAAAUUCUUCAUUCUAUUGAAACUAUGUAAGAAAUGAGGUAUAUUUAUUUAUUACUAAUUAAUUAAAAACAUUGUAUUUUACGAGAGUUUAUUUACUGUAUAUUGUUUACAUAAGAAAUCUACUAAAAUAACUCAUAAAAUGGAAAUUAUUUCUUAAAAAAAUUAUGAAACUAGCUUGUUUUCAUUUUCUUCUUGAGAAGACAUACUGCCUGCUUCCUCUGGUCUAUGUUUCCUGUGACGUGGAUUGCCAGCUAUCUCACCAUUGCUUUGGUCAUCUAAUGGGUCUUCUUCCGAGGGGUUUGUUGUCCCUGGUGAUCUUUGCCAUUCUGUCUAGGCUCCUUCUGUCCACAUGCUGGUUCCAUCUGACCACAUCGUCCACUUGGCACUUCUCUCUUAUAAUAUAAUUUUUCUGUCUGUCCGCCAGAUUGUAUCUCGUUAUUGUUCUUAGGAUCUUCAUUUCGGCUAUGGUCUCUGCUCCAUUGAUAGUUUUCAUUUUGAAAUAUAAUAAUUCACUUAUAUUCUAUAUUCAAGUUAAAUAUCGAUUUUGUAAUAUUAAUCCUUACUAAGAAACAAUUAACCACGCCACUGGAAUGUUUACUGCACCUCUAUUUGUCAAUUUUGCGGGUUUGUUGUUUUCCUACCUCACUUUAUCAUCUUACUGAUGCAACUUAUAUGUCUUUUAAGAAAUUCUUGAACGCUUUAAACAUACUCACAGUGACAUUUACAUUCUUUUUCAUUCAAAUGGACACAAACCAUAUUAAUUUUGAGGUAAACUUCCCAGUUGGCUGCAUAAUCACAUAAGUAAUUCUUUUAUGUUCAAAUAGACAGAAUCUAUAGCUUUUCGAGGUCAUUUCCUGAUUCUUUAUGCUUUUUGAGGUUAUUUUUCUGAUUGGCUGCAUACUUAUGUAAGUCACAUUUAUGUUCUUUUUAAUUCAAAUGGACAGAAUCUAUAUGCCUUUUGAGGUGAAACUUAUGUUUGGCUGCAUAAUCACAUAAGUGACAUUUAUGUUAUCUUUUAUUCAAAUGCACAGAAUCCAUAUGAAUUUUGAGAUAAACUUUCUGGCUGGCUGCAUAAUCACAUAGGUGUUAUUUAUGUUCUUUUUUAUUCAAAUGGACAGAAUCUAUAUGCUUUUCGAGGUCAUUUCCUGAUUCUAUAUGCUUUUUGAGGUUAUUUUUCUGAUUGGCUGCAUACUCAUGUAAGUCACAUUUAUGUUCUUUUUAAUUCAAAUGGACAGAAUCUAUAUGCCUUUUGAGGUGAAACUUAUGCUUGGCUGCAUAAUCACAUAAGUGACAUUUAUGUUAUCUUUUAUUCAAAUGCACAGAAUCCAUAUGAAUUUUGAGAUAAACUUUCUGGCUGGCUGCAAAAUCACAUAGGUGUUAUUUAUGUCCUUUU